CUUUUCGAGGUAGGAGUCGACUCCUGUGAGGUAUGGUGCUGGGUGCAGAUGCAGUGUGGCUCUGGAUAGCACCUUAUGGACAGUUGUGUCCCCAAGGAAGGAUGAGAAUAGCUACUGAAGUAAGUUGAAAAUUCCCUCUCAAAAAGGUUUAAAGCCAUUGGAUGUGCCACAAUGAUGACAGUUUAUUUGCUACUCUUGAGUGCUAGAAUGAUGAGGAUCUUAACCACCAUUAUCUUAACUGAGGCACCCAAAAUGGUGAGUUGGGGAACAUAGAGAGUACACCUAAGUUCACAUGAAGUUGUUUCUUCCCAGGUCCUAAAGAGCAAGCCUAACUCAAGCCAUUGGCACACAGGCAUUAGACAGAAAGCUGGAAGUUGAAAUGGUGGAGUCCAACUUGCCUGGACCAGCUUAAUGGUUCUGCUCCUGGUAACGUUUUUAUCCAUGGAUGACUUGCUUGGGUAAGGACAUGAAGACAGUUCCUGUCAUACCUUUUAAAGGUAUGGAGAGUCGGCUUGACUACACUGUGUGGAGCAAGUUUUAAAGAAGCAAAGGACUCAGAAUUCAUGAUUGAAGAAAUGCAGGCAGACCUGUUAUCCUAAACUAGGGUUUUUAAUGACCACAACAAGCAAGCAUGCAGCUUACUGCUUGAAAGGGUCUUGCCUCACCCAAGCUAGAGUGCAGUGGCCUUUGAAGCUUACUACAGCCUCAAACU
rnacentral:lncRNA from 10 species